rnacentral:rRNA from 1 species
GGCAACGGAUAUCUCGGCUCUCGCAUCGAUGAAGAACGUAGCGAAAUGCGAUACUUGGUGUGAAUUGCAGAAUCCCGUGACCAUCGAGUCUUUGAACGCAAGUUGCGCCCGAAGCCACUAGGCCGAGGGCACGCCUGCCUGGGCGUCACACGUCGUUGCCAC